rnacentral:rRNA from 1 species
UACAGAGGGAGCGAGCGUUAUCCGGAAUGAUUGGGCGUAAAGCGUCUGUAGGUGGUUUAGAAAGUCUACUGUCAAAUACCAAGGCUCAACCUUGGGCAGGCAGUAGAGUACUUUUAGACUAGAGUGUGGUAGAGGUAGAGGGAAUCCCUAGCGUAACAGUGAAAUGUGUAGAUUUUAGGGAGAACACCAGCGGCGAAGGCGCUCUACUGGGCCAAGACUGACACUGAGAGACGAAAGCUAGGGGAGCGAACAGG